GUGCAGUUUGUUAAUAACGACUUUUCCCCUCUUGCCCUGGUCUCCAAGGUUUUUGUUUUAGGGAAGAAAGGGAUCCUUAAGGCUCCACGUAGGGGUCUAACGUCCAUUCCUGCUGAUCCUCUUAGAAGUUCAGUUUCGUUUUUUAACAGUUUGUGUCGGGGGUCUUUACGUCAUGGUCUCCAUCAGGUCAAGGCUUGGAAAGUCACUUUAUAGCCGGAACUGGAAAUAAGUGCUGUGGUCGCCCCUGACUCCAGCAGGAUCUGAAAUCUGAGAGACCUUGCGCGUGUGAUCCUCACCCAUCCUCCCAUACGCAGGUGGCCCCUAGCUCCUAGAGGUUUCAGUGUACUUACUUCCUAGACUGAUUCUACACUCUCAGGAUCGAUUUGGGUGCGACCAGCGAUCAGCAGCAACGGAGCUAGGCUCAGUUCCCUCCAGCACGGAGCACUUAGCCCUCUGGAAACUUUGAGCUACAGAUAGUACCUAGGAUCUCCGGGUUGCUUCCUUCGAGCCGUUAGACCAGCCCCUGGCCUCGUUCCUCCACUUCGAUUAGGACCGGGUGUGCUCCGAGGAUCCGAGCAUCGGGAAGACAGUCCCUGGUACAGUAUGGACUUUUCUGCGCUCGCGGGAGACCAUGCGGGAGGCCAAAGGCUCCAGCUCUAGAGAAGAGGAACCCAGAGCUGUGAGCAGCAUGGGGGUGGGGCGGGAAAUGCGAGGCGGGCGGAGUGGGAAGUCCUGAAACCUCCCACCUCACCGUGCCAAGCCGACCCUGAACAUCCGACCCGACCCGGCUAGGAAGGGCUCCUGUCCUCGGAACGAGUGUUCGGAGAGGCGAACUGCGAGACGCGGCAAUCGAAAGAUCUUCCGUCACUGUUCUUCUCCAGCGGCCCUGGAUCUGUGUACACCCAGGGGCUCACUCCGACUGCAUCUGAAACCCACAGAGUCGAGAGAGGUGUCGCGUUCUGUCUGGAUACUCAAAGCCUUGCUCUCCCCGGGAUCAGAGACUCUUAGGGCGCGGUGCGGCCAGUGUGCGGAUGGAUGAAGCGAGAGUGCAGGCUGAAGGAUGAAGUGAGCUGUGUCGCUCUCUUUCGGCGUUCUGUCCUGCCUAGCGCAUCGGGAACAUUUCCUACCCAUAAAAAGGCUGGGCACUAAAUCGUCUUGCCCCCCCAGCGCAGCUAGAAAGAAUAGAGAGGCUAACCUGCCACCUCCCCACAGAGUUCCCACUUGCAGGAGCUCCUCCUGCGUCCCCAGGCUCUGCUCUCUGGGUUGAGCCAAAGGUGAUGCCCACCCCCCUCGAUCGCCCUCCCCCACCCUGGAGCUCCAACUAGUCAGAAGGGCGCUAGAUCCUCCAGCCCGCCUACGGAGAUGCGAUCCUGGGGGCUCCUCCCGCGUGGCUGUGGAGAGGUUCGCCAUCUCCUGGUCUUGAAGAAAAUCUUUACUGAGGAGGACUGCUGGACAGCUUAGCUCCUAGGCUGGGGUCGGAAGACCGUUUAUUCACCAUCCGGAA